rnacentral:rRNA from 1 species
UACGAAGGGGGCUAGCGUUGCUCGGAAUUACUGGGCGUAAAGCGCACGUAGGCGGCUCUCUAAGUCGGGGGUGAAAUCCUGGAGCUCAACUCCAGAACUGCCUUCGAUACUGGAGAGCUCGAGUCCGGGAGAGGUGAGUGGAACUGCGAGUGUAGAGGUGAAAUUCGUAGAUAUUCGCAAGAACACCAGUGGCGAAGGCGGCUCACUGGCCCGGUACUGACGCUGAGGUGCGAAAGCGUGGGGAGCAAACAGG